rnacentral:rRNA from 1 species
AGGAUGAACGCUGGCGGCGUGCUUAACACAUGCAAGUCAAGGGGGCCCAGCAAUGGGCAACCGGCGAACGGGUGCGUAACACGUGAGCAACCUACCGAAUUGUGGGGGAUAGCCGGCCCAACGGCCGGGUAAUACCGCAUACGCUCGAGACGAGGCAUUUCGACUCGAGGAAAUUUACGGAGCAAUUCGAGGGGCUCGCGGCCUAUCAGCUAGUUGGUGAGGUAACGGCUCACCAAGGCGACGACGGGUAGC